rnacentral:rRNA from 1 species
UACGUAGGGUGCAAGCGUUGUCCGGAAUUACUGGGCGUAAAGGGCUCGUAGGCGGCCAACUAAGUCGGAUGUGAAAUCCCCAGGCUCAACUUGGGAACUGCAUCCGAUACUGGAUGGCUUGAAUCCGGGAGAGGGACGCGGAAUUCCAGGUGUAGCGGUGAAAUGCGUAGAUAUCUGGAGGAACACCGGUGGCGAAGGCGGCGUCCUGGACCAACACUGACACUGAUGAGCGAAAGCCAGGGGAGCAAACGGG